GGAGGUAGUGACAAUAAAUCACAAUGCGGAACAAUGUUUUGCAAUUGGAUUGAGAACAACGUACAAACCUUAUCGAUAAACAAUUGGAGGGCAAGUCUGGUGCCAGCAGCCGCGGUAAUUCCAGCUCCAAUAGCGUAUAUUAACGUUGUUGCAGUUAAAAAGCUCGUAGUUGAAAUGAAGGGUAGUUGUGUAAUGAAUACAUUCGUGUAUUUUGUUAUUCUACUACCCUCCUUCUAAAUUCGAUAUAUGAGUAUUAAUUUACUUGUAUAUGGUUUUAGACCUUUACUGUGAGAAAAUUAGAGUGUUCAAAGCAGGCAUUUGCUUGAAUAUAUUAGCAUGGAAUAAUCAUGUAUGAUUUUCAUGAUGUAUUUGAUUGGUUUGGUUCAUGAGAAUAAGAUUAAAAGGGACAGUUGGGGGUAUUCAUAUUCAAUAGUCAGAGGUGAAAUUCUCGGAUUUAUGGAAGAUGAACAAGGGCGAAAGC
rnacentral:rRNA from 1 species